CUAAAACACCUUGUAGCAGCGUUUGCAGCAGGAGAGACUGGGUGAGUGUGUGUGCGUGUGUGUGUGUGUGUGUGUGAUGUGUCUGCUGCCACAGGGGGCGCUCACCCUGGGGGGCUGACCCUGUGUGUGUGUGCACACAGCAGGACUGAAGCCUCCAGCUAUGUUGAUAUCUGCAUUUGCAGCAAGGAAAACAGCAGAGUUUCCAGCUCUGUACCACGGGACGCGCAGGGGCCGGUUGUGCCCGUUUCAGAGAUAAAUGUGGUUUUGUAUUCUCUGAAUUGCCGCAUCCCCGCUCGGCUACUUCCUGGGCUGUGAGCACUCAGCGGGGGCGAGGCGCCCUUCGAGCGCCAUUCUUCAGGAUCCAGCAACAGCCUACUGUGGGUUGGCUUGCAGCCCGUUUGUUUUUGUUUUGAAAUCUGAAAUGCAGCUUUCAUAAUGUCUGUUUCCAGCCCUGGGGUGGUUGGCAGAGCAAGGCUCCCUGGAUCAAAGCCUGCUGGUGGGGCAUCUCUCUGGGCUCUGGCGUCUCUGGGCUCUGCGUGUCCCCGCCUCUCGCCUCCACAUCCGGCAAAUGGGCCCACGCCUGCUCCGUCUUCCCUACGGAGCCGUCAUGGGGAUCCCGUAGAGUAGGAGGGAGCGAGCGAGCGAUCGAGCUGCACCCGUGAGGUGUAGUGGCUGCAGAUGACCUCGGCGGAGCUCAGGACAGAGGCCACGCCAGGACAUGGCUGCAGAGCAUAAAAAAGUCACUCUCUGCCCAGAACAUCUACAGGCACGGACAGCAGAGGCCACUCAGGUCUUCAAUUCUGCAGAGAAACUCAGAGCGAAGCCGACCCCCGGAUGUUGUGAGUAAACGCGAGACAGAAGGGAGACCAAGGCGUGAGAGCUGUCACCCGAGGGCUCACGCAGGGUCCCGCGAAUUCACGUACGCAAACACUGCUUGAACAAGACGUACAAUACACAUGCGAAGACACACCUGCGCCUCAGAGCAGAGGAACACGGUGCAGGGGAGGCCACCACAAAACACACCCAACACCAGAAUAAGGGAAAAGGUUUAUUGUCGGGUGGCAGGGAACCCCACAGGCUGGAGGCAGAGGGCAGAGAAAACAGGUCUCAUCAUAGCUUUGCAGAGGUAGAAGUGGGAGCUGCGAAUUCCACCAGGGUGGGGGUGGGGCUGCUGCCGUGAUUGGGCCAUUUGGUCACCUGACCCCUGGUAGGCCAGGCUGGGCUGGGCCAUUUGGUCACCUGACCCCUGGUAGGCCAGGCUGGGUCCUGGAGAGGCCCAGCCCAUUGCGCAAGGUGGCGGCUGGGCCAGAGCCCAAGGUGGCACCCGGGGCUCGAGAUGGUGCCCAGAUAAGACACCACCAUCUUACUACCAGUACAGAUUUCUGAAAAUGUGGCGACCAGGAAGUGGAAAACAGGAAAGGCCAGAAACCUGGGCAGCAAAGAGUUCCUGAACAGCUGGUGGUGGUGAGGGCCGCCGCUGGGGCCCGGUCACCUUCCGUGACACCCAGGUGCUGAUACUCACCCCAUCCCAUGUAUUCCAGACUGAGCCACUCGCACCUCUAGCUCCCCACUUCUCUGCAUCCCCUGGCACCCUGAGAGCCACGGAGAACAGGAGCCUAGGCCGAGCGGUCAUGAUGUGGGCCACUCCCACGGACAGAGGAGUCCCGGCGAGAGGCUCCACCCAGACAGGGCUCUGCCUGGCUCCUCCCUGGUGCUGGCACGUUGAUGCCAGCCUAGCACAGACGCUCCAGAAUUACUGGUAACAGCUAAGCGCAUCAGAGAAAGGUUCUGGGUUCCAACCCUGCUCAGUGGAAUUCUGGGUCCCAGAUGCUAUCUUAGCUCAGCGAUGUCUGGCGGCUCCACCCCAAGUGCAGCCCAGGCUGCCAAUUUUCUCUUAAAAUGACGCUUUUACAAAGCCAGGCCCUUCCGUGGCACACACUGUGACAGCCCCCCCAUCUUCUACAAACGGUCAUUGCUGAGCACACAAGGACUCGGCACUGGCCACGCACCCUGGGUGGGCGCCGCGUGCCCGGGCUAAGCUGCCGCUUGGGACGCCCAGCAACUCUGCACUUCCCACCCAGCUUCCUGCUAACGCACGCGGGAGGCAGGAGGCCCUGUACCUGGGCUCCCGGCUGUUGCAGGCAUUUGGGGAGUGAACCAGGGAAGGGAGAUCCGCAGCUCCCUCUCUGCUCUCUGCAUUUCAAAUAAAUACAUCCCUUAAAAAAAAAAAA